AACGAACGCUGGCGGCAGGCCUAACACAUGCAAGUCGAACGCUCCGCAAGGGGAGUGGCGCACGGGUGAGUAACACGUGGGAACCUACCUUCUGGUACGGAACAACCAAGGGAAACUCUGGCUGAUACCGUAUACGACCUCCGGGUGAAAGAUUGAUCGCCGGAAGAGGGGCCCGUGUCCGAUUAGGUAGUUGGUGAGGUAACGGCUCACCAAGCCUGCGAUCGGUAGCUGGUCUGAGAGGAUGACCAGCCACACUGGGACUGAGACACGGCCCAGACUCCUACGGGAGGCAGCAGUGGGGAAUAUUGGACAAUGGGCGCAAGCCUGAUCCAGCCAUGCCGCGUGAGUGAUGAA
rnacentral:rRNA from 1 species